AGUGUCCAGUAGGUGUCACCCAUGCAGUUCCCCAAAACCUGGAGCCCGUAAUGACAUUGCGUAAGCCAUGGACGCCAGUCCACCUGCCAUGGCAUUUUAAUGACAACAUUCAGCUACCAUGGGAACAUGGAGGAAAUCGGGGAACCCAGAGGAAAUUACACGACAGCAUGGGGAGAACUUGUACAUUCCGCACACAUGGAGGCUGUGCGAGGCAAUAUUGGGGCACAAGGCUGGGGUGUACCCUGUACCCUGGAUGGGAUCCGGUUACACACAUACCUGCAAUCAUGUACUAUGGGCAUUUUAGAGACAUCAGUGUGUCUAAGCCAAUGUCUUUGUAUUUUGUGAAAAUGGCAACACAUCAAGGGGAGAACAUGCAAACUACAGGGCAGGGAUUCAAACCCCACUUUCUGGAAGUCUGAAGCAGCCCGUCUUAUCCGAAAAGAUGCAAGAUAUUAGAUGGUAAUGCUAAUAUUGUGACCCAAGGCUAAUAGAGUGUAUUUUUCUCUCUUUUCUAGAUAGCCAAUAGGACAAUGUUAGUCAUACCAACAUCUCUCCCUGUCUCCUUUUCGCUCUCUCUCUUGUGCUGUCUGAUUGCUACGGUAACACUUAUGCCUGUUGCCAUGACAACUCUUUCCUGAAAGCAUUGUGAAAGCAAGUGUACAGCAGUGUAUGUGUAUGUGUAUGGUGGUAUUGGACGAUUUUUGUGUACCCCACAAGUGUUACGCCUGGGGGAAUUGCUUGCCCGUGGUUUUAGAAGACUGUGAUCCAGUUUGUGUUUCUGUUGUAUGUGUGUUACCUUUAGUUUUGCGGAAUAUCGCUUCCAGGUCUGCCUUGACGACACAAGGGCACUGUGUGUGGUCCACCGGUCUGAUAGCUUUCUGUGCUCGAGACAGAUCACACAGGUCACAUGAAUUAAGAGCUGGCAAUGGGAUUUUGGCUGAUAUUUUGAUUCCCUGUGGCUGACAUAUGAGGAAUGCUUAGACACCAGUUAGGAUAAUAUUGCCUCAAGAUUGGUCAUUUUGUUCUUGCUGUCUAACACGUCAGAACCUCAAACUGCCACAAGCAGCAAGAGAUGUAAUUCCUAAGUGUAUUUC